GCUCCCUGAAAUUCUUAGAAUGGUUUCUAUUUGCUGAUGGGCCCCUGGGCUGAUAUGACAAUGAAACUGAGAGGUUAAACGUGAGACUGCACCUCCCUGCACUGAGUGGUUGAAUCUACUUAUCUGCGCUGAGGUCCCUAUUCCUUUGAGGAAGUUCCAGGGCCACCUUAUCCCCUUGCCUUAGGUUAUCUAUUCAAUUGUGUUUCAU
rnacentral:lncRNA from 10 species